GAGAAAGUAAGCAAGGGCAGACGGUGGAUGCCUUGGCUCUCGGAGGCGACGAAGGACGUGAUAAGCUGCGAAAAGCUCGGGGGAGGCGCAAAUAGCCGUUGAUCCCGGGAUAUCCGAAUGGGGCAACCCGGCAGGCUGAAGGCCUGUCAUCCCGUAAGGGAGGCGAACGUGGGGAACUGAAACAUCUAAGUACCCAUAGGAGGAGAAAAUAAACAAUGAUUCCGUAAGUAGUGGCGAGCGAACACGGAAGAGCCCAAACCCAUGUCGUCUAGGCGACACGGGGGUUGUAGGACCACGACGUGGCAAGAUAGAGUCAAGUGGAACGCCUUGGAAAAGGCGGUCAUAGAGGGUGAAAACCCCGUACACGACUGACGAUUGAAGCCUAGUGGUAUCCUGAGUAGCGCGGGGCACGAGAAAUCUUGCGUGAAACAGCGGGGCCCAUCCCGUAAGGCUAAAUACUCCCGAGAGACCGAUAGCGAACCAGUACCGUGAGGGAAAGGUGAAAAGAACCCCGAGCAGGGGAGUGAAAUAGACCCUGAACCCGUCUGCCUACAAGCGGUCGGAGCAUAGCAAUAUGUGACGGCGUGCCUUUUGCAUAAUGAACCUACGAGUUACCUUCCCCGGCAAGGUUAAGUACCUAAGGUACGGAGCCGAAGCGAAAGCGAGUCUGAAGAGGGCGGCCAGUCGGGGGGGUAGACGCGAAACCGAGUGAUCUACCCUUGGCCAGGUUGAAGGUUGGGUAACACCAACUGGAGGACCGGAUGGGUAAGCGUUGAAAAGCUUUCCAAUGAGCUGAGGGUAGGGGUGAAAGGCUAAUCAAACUCGGAGAUAGCUCGUACUCCCCGAAAUGCAUUUAGGUGCAGCCUCUUUAUAGUAUAUCGUGAGGUAGAGCGACUGAUUGGAUGCGAGGGCUUCACCGCCUAUCAAGUCCAGAUAAACUCCGAAUGCGCGAUAUAUAUUUAAAGGGAGUGAGGGCGCGGGUGCUAAGGUCCGUGUCCGAGAGGAGAAGAAUCCAGACCACCGGCUAAGGCCCCCAAAUGAUCGUUGAGUUGAACUAACGAGGUCGGAUCGCAGAGACAGCUAGGAUGUUGGCUUGGAAGCAGCCAUUCAUUUAAAGAGUGCGUAACAGCUCACUAGUCGAGCGAUCUGGCGUGGAUAAUAAUCGGGCAUAAACGAUCUGCCGAAGCCGUGGAUGUCGUAAGACAUGGUAGGGGAGCAUUCCAUGCGGCGUCGAAGAUGAGGGACGACCCUUGUUGGAGCGCAUGGAAAAGCAAAUGUAGGUAUGAGUAACGAUAAGGGGGGCGAGAAACCCCCCCGCCGAAAGACCAAGGUUUCCUGAUCAACGCUAAUCGGAUCAGGGUGAGUCGGGACCUAAGGCAAAGCCGAACGGCGACGCCGAUGGAAGAAUGGGUUAAUAUUCCCAUACUGCCUCAUGGAGUGACGUGGAGACGGAGAAGUGACAGUCCUGCCGGCUGACGGAAUAGCCGGUUGAAGGGUGUAGAUAUUGAUUCCCGUAGGCAAAUCCGCGGGGAGAGUCGAACCUGACAGUAUACCGAGUACUUGUACGAGGUAAUAUGGACGUAACCAUGCUCCCAAGAAAAUCCGCUAAACUUAUCCAUGCGGCACCCGUACCGUAAACGGACACACGUGGUCGGGUUGAGAAUACUGAGGCGCUCGAGUGAUUCACGGUUAAGGAACUAGGCAAAUUGACCCUGUAACUUCGGGAUAAAGGGUCCUCGUCGUAAGGCGAGGCGCAGAGAAUAGGUCCAGGCAACUGUUUAACAAAAACACAUGGCUAUGCUAAAUGGAAACAUGACGUAUAUAGCCUGACACCUGCCCGGUGCUGGAAGGUUAAGAGGAGAUGUCAUCGCAAGAGAAGCGUUGAAUUGAAGCCCCAGUAAACGGCGGCCGUAACUAUAACGGUCCUAAGGUAGCGAAAUUCCUUGUCGGGUAAGUUCCGACCUGCACGAAUGGUGUAAUGAUCUGGACACUGUCUCAACCGUGAGCUCGGUGAAAUUGUAGUAUCGGUGAAGAUGCCGAUUACCCGCGAUGGGACGAAAAGACCCCGUGAACCUUUACUAUAGCUUUACAUUGAAUUUGGGCAGACGAUGUGUAGGAUAGGCCGGAGGCUUUGAAGGGGGUACGCCAGUAUCCUUGGAGCCGCCGUUGAAAUACGGCCCUUCGGUUGUUUGAGUUCUAACUCCUAGGCAGGAGGACACUGUAUGGUGGGUAGUUUGACUGGGGUGGUCGCCUCCAAAAGCGUAACGGAGGCUUCUAAAGGUGCCCUCAGACCGAUUGGUAACCGGUCGCAGAGUGUAAUGGCAUAAGGGCGCUUGACUGGGAGAGAUACAACUCGAUCAGGUAGGAAACUAGAGCAUAGUGAUCCGGUGGUUCCGCAUGGAAGGGCCAUCGCUCAAAGGAUAAAAGGUACUCCGGGGAUAACAGGCUGAUCAUUCCCAAGAGCUCAUAUCGACGGAAUGGUUUGGCACCUCGAUGUCGGCUCGUCACAUCCUGGGGCUGGAGAAGGUCCCAAGGGUUGGGCUGUUCGCCCAUUAAAGUGGCACGCGAGCUGGGUUCAGAACGUCGUGAGACAGUUCGGUCUCUAUCUAUCGUGGGCGCAGGAGAUUUGAGGGGCUCUGACACUAGUACGAGAGGACCGUGUUGGACGUACCACUGGUUUACCGGUUGUCCCGCCAGGGGCACCGCCGGGUAUCUAAGUACGGAUCGGAUAAGUGCUGAAAGCAUCUAAGUACGAAGCCGGCCUCAAGAUUAGAUCUCCCUCAAGGGUGGUUAUAGACGAUGACCUUGAUAGGCCACAGGUGUAAGGGCGGCGACGUCCGAGCCGAGUGGUACUAAUAGCCCGGGACUUUCCUCA
rnacentral:rRNA from 1 species